UGCAGUCGAGCGGAUGACAGGAGCUUGCUCCUGAAUUCAGCGGCGGACGGGUGAGUAAUGCCUAGGAAUCUGCCUGGUAGUGGGGGACAACGUUUCGAAAGGAACGCUAAUACCGCAUACGUCCUACGGGAGAAAGCAGGGGACCUUCGGGCCUUGCGCUAUCAGAUGAGCCUAGGUCGGAUUAGCUAGUUGGUGAGGUAAUGGCUCACCAAGGCGACGAUCCGUAACUGGUCUGAGAGGAUGAUCAGUCACACUGGAACUGAGACACGGUCCAGACUCCUACGGGAGGCAGCAGUGGGGAAUAUUGGACAAUGGGCGAAAGCCUGAUCCAGCCAUGCCGCGUGUGUGAAGAAGGUCUUCGGAUUGUAAAGCACUUUAAGUUGGGAGGAAGGGCAUUAACCUAAUACGUUAGUGUUUUGACGUUACCGACAGAAUAAGCACCGGCUAACUCUGUGCCAGCAGCCGCGGUAAUACAGAGGGUGCAAGCGUUAAUCGGAAUUACUGGGCGUAAAGCGCGCGUAGGUGGUUUGUUAAGUUGGAUGUGAAAGCCCCGGGCUCAACCUGGGGAACUGCAUU
rnacentral:rRNA from 1 species